GAUGAACGCUGGCGGCGUGCCUAAUACAUGCAAGUCGAGCGAACAGACGAGGAGCUUGCUCCUCUGACGUUAGCGGCGGACGGGUGAGUAACACGUGGAUAACCUACCUAUAAGACUGGGAUAACUUCGGGAAACCGGAGCUAAUACCGGAUAAUAUAUUGAACCGCAUGGUUCAAUAGUGAAAGACGGUUUUGCUGUCACUUAUAGAUGGAUCCGCGCCGCAUUAGCUAGUUGGUAAGGUAACGGCUUACCAAGGCAAUGAUGCGUAGCCGACCUGAGAGGGGUGUAGGCCAACACGGAAACGAGACCCCGGCCCGCACUCCAAGGGAGGGAGGAGGAGGGAAUUCUUCGACAAGGGGGAAAGUCCGACCGGGGCACCGCGGGGGAGGUAAUAAAGUUCUAGGGAUGUAAAACCUUUUUUAUAGGGAAAAAAAAAUGGUGAAGGUAACUAUGCACUCCGUGACGGUAACUAAUCAGAAAGCGCCGGCAAACUACGUG
rnacentral:rRNA from 1 species